rnacentral:rRNA from 1 species
GAUGAACGCUGGCGGCAUGCCUAAUACAUGCAAGUCGAACGAGAAAGUUCCUUCGGGAAUGAGUAGAGUGGCGCACGGGUGAGUAACACAUAGGUGACCUUCCAUUUGGUGGGGGAUAACCCUGAGAAAUCGGGGCUAAUACCGCAUAAGUAGCAUUAAUUUGAAGAUGAUGUUAGAAAGGAUGCCUCUGCUUGCAAGCAUCUACCGAAUGAUGGGCCUGCGGUGCAUUAGCUAGUUGGUGGGGUAACGGCCUACCAAGGCGACGAUGCAUAGCUGAUCUGAGAGGAUGAUCAGCCACACUGGAACUGAGACACGGUUCAGACUCCUACGGGAGGCAGCAGUAGGGAAUAUUGCGCAAUGGGCGAAAGCCUGACGCAGCAACGCCGCGUGAGUGAGGAAGGCCUUCGGGUUGUAAAGCUCUGUCAGAUUGGAAAAACGGCCAGUGGUCUAAUAGGCCAUUGGAUUGAUGGUACAAUCAGAGGAAACACCGGCUAACUUCGUGCCAGCAGCCGCGGUAAAAC